UAGGGAAUCUUCCGCAAUGGACGCAAGUCUGACGGAGCAACGCCGCGUGAGUGAAGAAGGAUUUCGGUUCGUAAAACUCUGUUGUUAGAGAAGAACAGCGCAUAGAGUAACUGUUAUGCGUGUGACGGUAUCUAACCAGAAAGCCACGGCUAACUACGUGCCAGCAGCCGCGGUAAUACGUAGGUGGCAAGCGUUGUCCGGAUUUAUUGGGCGUAAAGCGAGCGCAGGCGGUCAAUUAAGUCUGAUGUGAAAGCCCCCGGCUCAACCGGGGAGGGUCAUUGGAAACUGGUUGAGUGGAGUGCAGAAGAGGGGGGUGGAAUUCGAUGUGUAGCGGUGAAAUGCGUAGAUAUAUGGAGGAACACCAGUGGCGAAGGCGACUCGCUGGUCUGUAACUGACGCGGAGGCUCGAAAGCGUGGGUAGCAAACAGG
rnacentral:rRNA from 1 species